rnacentral:lncRNA from 1 species
UACCUUUUGAUUACAGCAUAUUUCCUUUUUACUAUCAUACAUUGUCUUGCCACAACACCCGAGGGUCUUACUGCCGUUCGUUAGGUAACUUUUCCCGUAGCAACACAAACUCCGGGUUUUAGGAAUGAGAUUUCCGUUACAGCAUUUUUGACUGGUGUAAUCCAUGGGUUUAUCACGACAACAUCUUAAGGUUGCCGAUUUCCCCCUCGGGUAAAGUUUCCCGUAACAACAGAUCUGGGUACGCAUGUCGUAUGUUGUCUUCCAACCACAGCAACUCAAGUUCCCGUUGCCAUUGUAGUCAACGAUUUGAUCAUUGCAGCAAAAGCUCUUUCUGUAGUCCUGUAUGACUCCUACAAAGUAUAGAUGAUCUCUG